CCUACGGGUGGCAGCAGUGAGGAAUAUUGGUCAAUGGGCGGAAGCCUGAACCAGCCAAGUCGCGUGAGGGAAUAAGGCCCUACGGGUCGUAAACCUCUUUUGCCGGGGAGCAAGGGCCGGGACGAGUCCCGGUCCGGAGAGUACCCGGAGAAAAAGCAUCGGCUAACUCCGUGCCAGUAGCCGCGGUAAUACGGAGGAUGCGAGCGGUAUCCGGAUUUAUUGGGUUUAAAGGGUGCGUAGGCGGGCUUUUAAGUCAGCGGUAAAAAUUCGGGGCUCAACCCCGUACGGCCGUUGAAACUGGGGGCCUUGAGUGGGCGAGAAGAAGGCGGAAUGCGUGGUGUAGCGGUGAAAUGCAUAGAUAGCACGCAGAACCCCGAUUGCGAAGGCAGCCUUCCGGCGCCCUACUGACGCUGAGGCACGAAAGUGCGGGGAUCGAACAGGAUUAGAUACCCGAGUAGUC
rnacentral:rRNA from 1 species